CUGAAAGACCGAGAGAUCGUCUACUGCCUGGUGGUUUAUUUUGUCAUUAUCACGUUGCUGAACGUGAUAUUUCUAGGGCAUGUACGACUAUUUUACGAUUAUCCACCGGAAACAGCUGGUAAUUAAGCAGCUCGGCGGAACGAUAUCAGAUGGUGCCAAUUCGACCGGCGACCGCUAGAUGGCGCUACCAGCACAAUUUACAGUUGAAUGCGAUCGCGUCCGGACUUUAGAGGUAUUAAUUUGCAAGAUAAGUGAGAAGUAUUUCUCUGGUUAUCGGAAUUAACGAAGACAGCAUCACAGUAUAAGAAGAUAUACUGUGACAGCGUGGAGAUCGGUUGACAAUUUUUAACCUAACCUCAAAUCGAAGCUAGAUGGGUCUUCAACGGCACCUCCAAUUCAUCAGCCGCACGAUCUUCGUUCAGAACAACGAUGUGGAUAAGGCGUGCCGCACGUUAAAUCGUAUACUGUCCCAGGAAGACAUCUUCGGCCAGUACAGACGUACGAGGUACUAUGAGAAACCGACCUACGUCAGACGCAGAAUCAACUUUGAGAGGUGCAAGUCGAUCUAUAACGAGGACAUGGACAGAAAGAUCAAGUUUCUUCUACGUAAAAAUAGAAUAGAUCCUUUUCCCGGCGCGUCCUAAGAUUAUCGAUCCUACAACCUACACAACCUUAGAUCGCACAAUUGCAAAUCUAUCUACAAGCAGGCAGGUAUAAUUAAUUUAUGAAUAAACGCUACCAGAAAUAUAGAAAAUGUUUUGACGCAA